UACAUAUACUUACAUAACCUCUAAGUGCAUUCUAAAUACGUAUCCCUACACCCACGGGUGCAGCUCUUACUUCUCAUCGAAGAAGCUUCUUUUUGCAGCAGACAGAGAUCGUUAGAGGAGCCAGCACUGCCGAGAUCAACUGCCCAUGAAGUACCUGUCCCCGGUUAACACGUUGACAACACGACCCUUCCACUUGAGGCUCAGGAAAUAUGGAGGAAGAGGGGGAGAGAAGAUUUUAAAAGCCAGAAGGCCAGGACAUCUGUUGCUGUGAGACGCGCAGAAACAAGAGGAUCCCCGGCACUUAUUGACAAGGCAAUCUGAUGGUUCACAGCUUUGACAGGAUUUGCCAAAGGCAUCUGCAACAAAACUCCCCUCUGAGCUUGUACAUCAUCAUCUCUGCAGGGGAAUACAGGAGGAAGAGAAUCCCCUAUUGCUGAAGAGCCUAUGCAUUUCAGACACAAGACCUGAAGGCUCCAAGCUAGAUCUGGCCUGAAAGCCUCUUCACCAAAGACCAGCUUUCCUGGUACCAAAAGGUGCUGCGCAAGCUUCUAAGGGAAGCAGGGCCAACAGUCCCAGCCAGCUGUGUUACCUCUGAACCACAACAGCCAGCAUGGCACGAUGUCCCCAGCCGUGGCACCCACGCCUGGGCAGUAACCAACGGCUCUCUGAUUGGUCUGAAGGCCUGCUCAACAAGAGAGAUGUCAUGCCUGGUACUGGAAACCUAACCGACUGCUCAGCACAAGUGAGGUCAUGCAUCUUGGGGGAGAACCUACCACCACCACUUUACUAAACCAGAAAAUUCCUAACUAUAUUCUUAAUAGUUGUCCUUGUACUUACAAACGAGUGUAGUUUCCACCUCUCGUCAGACUCUUUACAACAGACAGACAGAGACCAUUAAAGAAAACCACAAAUGGGUUGGGGAUUUAGCUCAGUGAUAGAGCACUUGCCUAGCAAGCACAAGGCCCUGGGUUCAAUCCUCAGCUCCAAAAAAGAAAACCACAACCAUUCAAAAUGCAGAGAACAAGAGAUUGCGUGGUACCAGUCUUAACAGUUGUGUUCAUCCGGAACACAACUCCUGCACCGAAGGCACAGGGAUCAUUGUGGAAUUGGGGUUGGGAAAAGAUCGUAAGAGACAGAGGAACAGGAAGCUUGCUGUGAGGUUGUGUCUCCUAGAAAUGUCAGACAGGCUACGACCAUGGAGUCUCAGCAAUAUGGCUGCCUAAACAAGACCUGAACAGUGACACAAAUGGAUGAGCUAACCCGGAAGCGGCAGAUCUCACGGGGCGUCAACUCUAGACAGAGACCUACAGGGGGCACGGAGAGCAGAAGAAAUGGUCUUCUCCAGAGAAGGGCCCUCCCCAGCCCACAGGUGGUGAUCCAAUAUCAAGUGGUCAGCCCUGAAAUCUCAUCCAUGCAAGUAACAUUAUACAGACUGAGCAGUGUUGGGGGUACAAAGGUCCCUGUGCCCACAAAUAAGCACUUGGGUGUUGUGGAAUACUCUUUUUGUACACUGUGAAGAAGUGUCACUCUGAUUGGUUUAAUAAAAAAGCUGAACAGCCAAUAGCCAGGCAGGAUUUGGGGGACAGAGAGGACACUGGGAAGAAGGGCAGAGAUGGGGGUGGAAGGAGAGUCAAGAGGAGACACGGAGGAAGCAUGACAUGUAGAAGAUGAGGUAACAAACCGUGAGCCACGUGGCAGCCCAUAGAUGGACAGAAAUGGGUUAAGUUGUAAGAGCUAGCUAAAAGAAGCCUAAGCUAUCGGCCUAGCUUUCAUAGUUAAUAAGAAGUCUCUGUGUCAUUGAUUCAUUUAAUUAAUUAAUUUCAUAAUUAAUAAGAAGUCUUGCUACACUUGGGAAACCAGUAAUGUUAAACAUGCAGGGACCUCUUCUCAAAGGAAUUACCUGUGUCCCACCCAGAAGGCUGGGAGUGAACACUGUUAGUGACCUGGUGACCUUUGUGCUGUCCGUGGGGGCAGACCUCACCCAGAAUGUUUAUUCCAGAUUCUUCCCUCCCUAGAUCAUUAUCUUUAGCUCCCACAUAAUAGAAGACAUCCUUAGGGGAGAUGUCACAUGCACUUUGUGGCCUGCUGACUUCUAUGCCAUCUCAAUCAGAGACCACACUAGAUUCUAAACCUUUUAGCCAUAGAACCCACACUCAUGGUCACAUGUACUUUGCAAAGGAGUUUCAUUAUAGUCACACUUUAAGCUUUAUUGUGCAUCUAGAAUUGGGAUGCUUGUUGCCUGGAAACUUUCCCCCAGAUUGUACUGUUUUUUUAAAUAUGCUGACAGUGGACCACUGCUGUGGAAUAUCAUUUUAACUAGGCAAAUAUGUGUUACAUUUGUUUAUGCUGCAGAAUAUUACUUUAACUAUGUGAAGGUGUGUUACACUUGUUUAUGCUGCAUUUGUUCAAUUAUGUAAAGAUGUGUUGCGUUUUA